AGUCACCUACGGGGGGCAGCAGUCGGGAAUAUUGCGCAAUGGAGGAAACUCUGACGCAGUGACGCCGCGUAUAGGAAGAAGGUUUUCGGGUUGUAAACUAUUGUCGUGAGGGAAGAAAUUGACAGUACCUCAGGAGGAAGCUCCGGCUAACUACGUGCCGGCAGCCGCGGUAAUACGUAGGUGGCGAGCGUUAUCCGGAAUGAUUGGGCGUAAAGGGUGCGCAGGCGGUCCUGCAAGUCUGGAGUGAAACGCAUGAGCUCAACUCAUGCAUGGCUUUGGAAACUGGAGGACUGGAGAGCAGGAGG
rnacentral:rRNA from 1 species